GCAGUGUUAGUUUUUGUCGAUCAAGUGCCACAAACUGUCAAAAUUUCUUAUUAUUUUCGGAAUAAUAUAUUAAUCCAGCCAAAAGUUAGCUGUAAAAGCGGAGGCAUAAAAUGUACCAAAUCUGUAUUAAGUUAUGACAUACAUAGAGAUCAUGUUUUGCUUUUUGAGCGUAUCCUCAAAGCGUAUCCUCUAAACAUGGACAAUAUGAUUCUCAAUGAUAAAACUUUAAUCGAUCAGCCAUUAACUAGUGGCUGACGAGCCAAUGACACGCGGCUGACCAGCUCAUAACUUGCGACUGACCAGCCUAUGUCUAGCGGCUGACCAGACGGUCUGGUCUGGGGCUAACCAGAAAAAACUUUACACUUUUGGCCAGGCCCAGGCCAGAACAUCUGGUCAGCACCAGGGCUGGAAACCUGGUGAUCUGGUCUGGGCCAGGCCAGCGUCAGAACAUUGUUCCACACAGGGAUCAAAAUUAUGGCAUAGGUCUGACGUUCUUUGGACAAAGUGGUACUUCCAGCUUUACCUAUCUAGGACUUCCUGUGCACUUUACGUCGUUGUUUUAAGUACUUCAUAGAUUUCGCUAUUUUUUAGCACCCCGUUUCAAGAGCCGUAAAUCAGAUAGAUGCAUGGUUGCUCGGCGGUUUAAGAAAGUCUCUUGUAUUAAACAUUUUACUUGGAAUUAAAGCCAAUA